AGAAAAGCCUAGCAUGCCAAUGUUGAGCUGCUGGAGGACCAAACACCUUUGGGUCCCUGAGGUGUUGGGUUGGACCAGCUCUCAACAGCUAAAUGCAGAUACAAAAUGUUGUGUGUGACGCACAGCCCAAGUGCAGAAAGCAGGAAUGUUUGUGGGCUCUGCACUUAAGACAGAAGACCUCCGAGAUACAGAAGCUCUGACAGCUUGUUCAAUAUUAUUUUAAG